UUGAAGCUCGCUCCACUUUCAUUUUAUCCACUAUUGAACGCAGUUUAUUCCGUUUUAAAUUGUAUCAAUUAUUUACGUUUUAAAAUACUUCAAGUUGGAUUUGGAAAGUUGUUUGAAAUGUUUGGAUAAAGUUUACAGGUAACUUAUUAGAUAUUUUGUAGCCAUGCUGGGCGAGUUGGAACCAGUGUUUUUCUGAAUCAAAUACAACAAAUAAAUGGGGAUAUAACGACAGAAUUAAUCGAACAAAAGGACCAUUUGUGAUGUUUGGGACAUAUUGGAGUGCCAACAGAAGAAGAUCUUCAAAGGAACGACCCGGGGAAUAGUUACAGGGGGAAGGAUGGGAGAUGAAUGAGCCAAUUGGAAGUGUUGGAGGAUCAGGUGGUCAUGAUGGAAUCAGUGGGCAGGUUUCAUUCGCUCCUCUACAUCCCCAGCUGGUGUAAGCUUCUUUGUGGGAAAUGAUGGAGGUCUGCGUCCCUGCAUCGAUUAGAGGGCUGAACAGGAUUAAGAUUAAGAAUCGUUACCCCCUACCCUGAUGUCCGUCGCCUUGGAGUUGACCCAUGGGGCCCAAUUCUUCACCAAACUGAAACUCCGCAACGCUUACAAUCUGGCGAGAAUCAGGAAGGGAGAUUAAUGGAAAACUGCCUUUAACACCCCGAGUGGCCAUUUAGUCAUGCCCCCAAAUUAUCUAACUCACCAGCAGUCUUCAUUGGUCAAUCACACGCUUAGGGAUAUGUUGAAUCGGUUUGUCUUUGUUAACCUCAACGACAUCCUGAUCUUCUACAAGACCCUUCCGGAAACCAUCCUGCACGUCCGCCAAGUCCUGAGACCCCUGCUGCAGACUCAACUAUACAUCAAGAUAGAGAAGUGUGAGUUCCAUGUAUCCCAAGUUUCUUUCCUAGGCCACAUUAUCUCUACCGCCGGCAUCCAAAUGGACCCCGUAAAAGUGAAGGCGGUCACCGUCUGUCCUCGUCCUGCCUCACUCAAACAAGUCCAGUGGUUCCUCAGGUUUACCAAUUUUUACAGGUGUUUUAUACGCAACUUUAUCAUUUGUAAGUAAAGUAUUAUGUUUAUCUUUAACCACUGAUUCCUUGUCUGGUCUCUUCUCUGCACCUGGGUCCAACCUCACCACGUCACAGAUGCAGUUAAUUUCAUACCCUGUGCUUUUCUCUUGUGACCAUCUUGAUCAUUACACUACAAACAGAAGGUAGAUCAUUAUCAUAAUAAGAUGCUAAUUUAGUCCCUGUUCACAGCAGUAGUGAUUUAUCAAGCAUGAAAGUUGCCCAGGUCG